GCGGCUGUGGUGAAAUCGGUAGACACAAGAGACUUAAAAUCUCUCGCCAGAAAUGGUGUGCCGGUUCGAUUCCGGCCAGCCGCA
rnacentral:tRNA from 1 species